GGAAGCGUGCCGGAGCGGUCGAACGGGGCGGUCUUGAAAACCGCUGUACCCACUCGGGUACCGGGGGUUCGAAUCCCUCCGCUUCCG
rnacentral:tRNA from 1 species